AUGAAGCAAUGCUCGCUCGCCCAAAUCAACUUGUUGGACAACUGUACACGUAUGUGUUUUUUCAAGCCCACUUAUUUCAGCCUCUCCGUCUCCUUCAAGCCCGAUGAGAAGUUCAGGGAUAUUCCUGGGAGUGCCUAUUAUGUGGCUCCGGAGGUGCUGAAGCAGAGAUAUGGAGCCGAUAAUUGCAUAUGGAGUGCUGGAGUUAUACUCUACAUUCUGCUGUCUGGCAUUCCUCCUUUUUGGGCAGCAGGGCAGGUGCGUUCUCUGGCUGGUUAUGUCAAUCAAUUUUGGGGCUGUGAUGGAUGCAAAGACUGGAAGGACCGGCGGUUGGGAGGAUGUAGACUAAGAGCUAUAUAUGAUGAUUCUACAAAAGAUAAUGUACUGGAAGACAUGAGAACUUUUAGGAUGCUACAGCGUAAAAAUAUUUGGAAGAUGAGGGACCAAGUUGAGCAGGCCAUCAACAUCCUAUUCUUGCUUAUCUUUGUUUUCUUUGUAUCUGUAUUAUUAAUCUUGCUUUCAACUGGCGUGUUGAGUGCAAUCUUCCGGGUGCAAUCCUCAAAUAUGGGAUGCCGUACUAGCCUUAAAUCAACAUCUGGAUUGGCUUAUGAUGGCAUGGAGUUCCAUCAUUUCGGCUGCUUGCGGCGGGGAGUGUGGCCGGUGCUUGCGGCAGCAGCGAAGCGGCGUGCGCGAGCGCAGUGUAGGCAGUGGCCAAAGGCUCAUCGGCCGCUGCGAGUACGCCGUUGGCACCAGGUGACGGGCGAGCUAACCGACACAUCACUGCACAUCUCUCUCCCCCCGAUUCUUCUCCAGCACCUCUCUCUCUAUCUCACCCACGACCCGUCCUCACCUUCUCCCCCACCGUUAGCGAGGACUUGGCUCUUCUCGAUGAUCGAGGGUGUCGGUCGCCACCCGUUCCUACCGGAUGAACCAUCGGUUUGCAUUCACAUAGUCCUCAUCUUGGAUGAACUCCAGGAUGGCCUGCUGCUUCGCUAUCUCGUCCACUUGGGCAACGGCGAACUCCGCCUCCGCCUGCUCCAUGUUGAAGCCCGGAGCCGGUACCAGGUCCUGUUCUGGCUGCUCCGCCUCCUCAUCGCCCUCCGGAUCCGCCACCUCCAUCGGAGCCGGCUGCUACUCCUCUCUCUCUCUCUCCUCCUCCUGUUCCGGCGAGUCCGAAGGCAACCCGACAGUGACGCGGGUGGCGUGCUCAGCGCGCAUUGCCCGGAUCGUAUGCUCGAUCUGGUAUCGACACUCCGGCAUGAGCAUAGCGUAGGUGGUUAUCUUGUCCCGGAACAUGGCGAAGCCGGAGAGCAUGGGAAGAGCGCCGGAGCGGGAGAGAGGAGGUGGAUGGGCUCGGGUUGCCGGAGCGGGAGAGAGGAGGUUAUCUUCUCCCGGACCGGCGCUACACAACGUUCACCCCCUACCCCCUCCACCACCACUACCCCCACCGGAGAAUACGUACGUCGGACCACCGGGUUUUUGGGCGAUUCCGCAUGGGACCCCGAUGUUAGGGUUGGGCUAGUCCGACAACUACGAUGGAUCCCAUCCAAAGCAGGUUUUGUGAUGAUCAAUGUGAAUGUCGGAGUCUUUGUGGAUCAUAACCUAGGCACGAGAGCGGCAAUCUGCCGCGAAAGAGAUGGACUGUAUCUAGGAUCUUCGGUUCUGGUGGAGGCACUUGUUGUUGGGUACUCCCAUACCUGGACAAAUGGGCUGGCCUGGCCCGACACGGCCCGGCAUGGCUUAAACGGGCCAGGCCCGCUAAGUACUCGGGUCGUGCCAGGCCGGCACGCGUGCUGGCCUCCCAAGCCCAGGCACGUCCUUGGCUAA
rnacentral:rRNA from 1 species